rnacentral:lncRNA from 1 species
CCCCGUUCCCUCGCCAGGCCACGCCACGCCACAUCAAGCUCUACGUUUUAUUGCUUUUUGUCCUUGCCACGUUUCCAGAGUUUAAGCCUAAUAAAAUAUUGAGUUCAAAACCUGAGUUCAGUUCACUACAGACCACUUGGUCACGUGACACUUUUUUCAACAACUUCAAGUUGUGACAACAAAAUCUCUGUCUGACUUUUUUUAGUAAUAUAUUUUUCUUUUGUUUUGUUAUUCUUAGUUUUUUGUUCUUUUUUUCAGCUCCAGUCUGUAAAGCCGAUCUCCUGCAACUCAGAGGGAAUCUACAUUUAACCUGAGCUCACCUGGUCCACCAGCCCUUCAUCCAGCAUCACCAACAACAACACAACAGCCCAUCAGAUUGACCAGCAGCUUUACAGCAUCAGCAGUUCUCUGAUACUUCCAAACAGUGACAUGGAUCUGAAUUACAGCUGUGCAGUCAGCACUGGCAGAAACAGGACGAGAGCAACCUUCAGGCAACAAGGUGAGUUUAACAUCUCAUUCUGAAGAUAAAACAGUUCCUCCUUUUAAAAGCUUCAUUUAGGUUUUGAAAAGUCGUUGAACUAAUUUUUUUUUUUUUUAAUCGUACCUUACUUGUUUUGUAUUUCAUGCAAUCAAAGGAAAUAUUAGUCUCUCCUUCAGAGUUUGGUGAAUCACGUCUGAGGAUAAGUCAUUAGAGAGAGUAGAGAACAGAGAAAUUAAGUCACAUUGUGAUAAGUCACCAUCUUUUAUACCCUAUAAAGGUGAAACUAAAAAUUUUAAAUUAGAAUCAAAUCAAAAAUGUUUUUUCUGUUUUUUCUGUUUUUUCAGGAUUAGUGACUGGGAGCCAGUCUGAAACAACAAUCCACUGUUCCCCCUCACACACCCCUGUAACAAACCUCAUCUGGAGAUUCGACCACAGUCAGAUCAUCCUGACAAAGACUGACAGUCAGUACACAGUCUCAGAGGAGUGGAAGCAGCAUGUAAAGGAUGUGUCAGAGUCAGGCAGCCUCACACUGCAGGACUUCUCCUCAGAUCAGGAGGGAACAUACACGUGUGAACUCGCUGAUGCUGUGGAGACUAAAAUAACUAAUAUCCUCGUGGAGAUCAAUGAAGGGAAUUCAUCUAAUGUUGGAGCAAUCGUAGGAGUGGUCAUUGCAGUCAUUGUAGUUUUAGCCUUAUUAGUAACUCUCCUGGUACUGUGGAAAAAUCAGGUAAAAAGACAUUUUACACACAGUAUUUAAUUCCAUCUUAAUAUUGUGUUUGUUGUUUGUAUUGAUGAUUUUUCAUGGUUUGUAAAACAUUCGUCAGGUUACAAAGAAAAUGUGAGAAAACUUUGAAGAGUGAAACCAGAACAUGAUUAAAUCUUAUGUCUUAAAACACAGAGCAGCUCUCUGUGAACAGUGUGAAAUCUAAAGGUCCAAACUGUUCUCUACAUUCAGUCUA